AGAGCAGACUUGGCCCACAUGGGGUCUAACAGUGGGGGCUCAACAGCUUGCAGCUGAUGGACUCAGAGCAUAGAGGGUGCAAGGAGGAGUAGUACAUGAAAACAGACACUUUUUUCGAACUUUAGCUAUUGUGAACGUACAAAAGUAGGUACAUAGAUUAAAUAUAAGAACCCCAAAAAGGGCAUAAUAUGGGCUCUUUAACUAUUUUUUCUCUCCAUUUUGGUGGCAUGCUACAUCUAAUAUUAUCACAUACAUUAUCAACUGUCUUCCUACUUACCCCAUCUUCCAGCUCACUAACGGCAUCAUACACGGCCCUAUUUGGCAGGAAGCCGGGUAUGUACUCGUACACCAUGUCCUUUACCUGCCUUAUCCCUGCCGCACUAAACAACCUAUUAUAAAAGACCUUACCCUCCUUCUGUAUUUUUGGGUUAAAGAAGAUUGGCUGGUUGACCACCUGGUUGAAGCUGUGACACUCGUACACCAGGUGGCCCAGCAUGUCUGUCCAGUCCAACAGGACCUCCUGAUAGAACCUUGAUAGCGUUUUCCUGGAGAUCCUCACUCCUUUGCAGCAUUAAUUUCCUUUACCACCCAAUCUGGCAAAUCUUUAGCACCCAACACAUAAAUUACUUUCGACAUCACGUUCACAUCCACAUUUGUGGAAGAACAGUCACAAAAGAGACAAAUCUGCGUCUCUUUUAGAGGCUGCGUCGCAUGGUAUGCUGCUGUCUGACACAUCGCCUACCACUAAAAGGGAAGGAGAGAGGCUCAUUCUACAGUCCCUGCUUGAAAAAAAAGACCCACAAAUUUUCAGGGAGUAUGACACUGCAGGUACCCUGUCAGCACCAUCGAGGAAGCUUCUUGUGAAGACCUGCAUAGGAGAUCUGGAACCGAACCGCACUUUUUUUUGGUUCCUUGUCAGCAUAAAUCCUGGCUCCAGCAAGUGCAGUGCCAAGGUCCAGACAAGCCGGAAAACAGGAAGAACUGAGGAAAACAUCUGAUAUGAACCCCACGUUGUUUCAUUCAUCAGGGACUUCACUGAGUUUGAUUGGCAGAAUAAUUAGAUGGAGGUGAGCUUGGGAUAAUAAUAAUGUGGCCUUAAAAGCAGUGCUUUUUAGAUUGUUUAUCUGCAUAGUGUCCCCUGUUGUGCCGUUCUGUGCCGAAAACGUGGAAACAUGUUAUUUUGUCUGUCUGAGAUUGAGUUGUUCAUUCGGUGCCUGUUUUGGCAUCAUGUUGAAAAAGUGAUGAAAAGAAAUACGAUCACAAGUCUGUAUAUUGUGUCUAGCUUGACACGAACCUGCAGGGUACUCCUUGGAAAUAGACUUGCAAUAACCAUGAUUGUCGUAACAACAAGUGUUGUUGUUACCAACAAUAAAUAGUUAAAAAUGUA